rnacentral:rRNA from 1 species
AUGAACGCUGGCGGCGUGCCUAAUACAUGCAAGUCGAGCGAACAGACGAGGAGCUUGCUCCUCUGACGUUAGCGGCGGACGGGUGAGUAACACGUGGAUAACCUACCUAUAAGACUGGGAUAACUUCGGGAAACCGGAGCUAAUACCGGAUAAUAUAUUGAACCGCAUGGUUCAAUAGUGAAAGACGGUUUUGCUGUCACUUAUAGAUGGAUCCGCGCCGCAUUAGCUAGUUGGUAAGGUAACGGCUUACCAAGGCAACGAUGCGUAGCCGACCUGAGAGGGUGAUCGGCCACACUGGAACUGAGACACGGUCCAGACUCCUACGGGAGGCAGCAGUAGGGAAUCUUCCGCAAUGGGCGAAAGCCUGACGGAGCAACGCCGCGUGAGUGAUGAAGGUCUUCGGAUCGUAAAACUCUGUUAUUAGGGAAGAACAAAUGUGUAAGUAACUAUGCACGUCUUGACGGUACCUAAUCAGAGAGCCACGGCUAACUACGU